rnacentral:rRNA from 1 species
AGAGUUUGAUCAUGGCUCAGGACGAACGCUGGCGGCGCGCUUAACACAUGCAAGUCGAGCGAGAACCGGGCCUUCGGGUCCGGGGAAAGCGGCGAACGGGUGAGUAACACGUGGGUAAUCUGCCCUCGGCAUCGGGAUAGCCCGGGGAAACCCGGAUUAAUACCGGAUAGCCUCCGAAGCUCUCGAGCGUCGGAGAAAAGGUGGCUUUGGCUUCCGGCUGAGGAUGAGCCCGCGGCGGAUUAGCUUGUUGGUGGGGUAACGGCCUACCAAGGCGACGAUCCGUAGCUGGUCUGAGAGGACGAUCAGCCACACUGGGACUGAGACACGGCCCAGACUCCUACGGGAGGCAGCAGUGGGGAAUCUUGCGCAAUGGGCGAAAGCCUGACGCAGCGACGCCGCGUGCGGGAAGAAGGCCUUCGGGUUGUAAACCGCUUUCAGGAGGGACGAAGCCACUCGGGUUAAUACCCCAGAGGGUGACGGUACCUCCAGAAGAAGCCCGGCUAACUACGUGCCAGCAGCCGCGGUA